AGCCUGAUGCAGCGACGCCGCGUGAGGGAUGGAGGCCUUCGGGUUGUAAACCUCUUUCGCCAGUGAAGCAGGCCUGUCCCUUUUGUGGGUGGGUUGACGGUAGCUGGAUAAGAAGCGCCGGCUAACUACGUGCCAGCAGCCGCGGUAAUACGUAGGGCGCGAGCGUUGUCCGGAAUUAUUGGGCGUAAAGAGCUCGUAGGCGGCUGGUCGCGUCUGUCGUGAAAUCCUCUGGCUUAACUGGGGGCUUGCGGUGGGUACGGGCCGGCUUGAGUGCGGUUGGGGAGACUGGAACUCCUGGUGUAGCGGUGGAAUGCGCAGAUAUCAGGAAGAACACCGGUGGCGAAGGCGGGUCUCUGGGCCGUUACUGACGCUGAGGAGCGAAAGCGUGGGGAGCGAACAGGAUUAGAUACCCUGGUAGUCCACGCCGUAAACGUUGGGCACUAGGUGUGGGGGGCCUUUUCCGGAUCUUCCGCGCCGUAGCUAACGCAUUAAGUGCCCCGCCUGGGGAGUACGGCCGCAAGGCUAAAACUCAAAGGAAUUGACGGGGGCCCGCACAAGCGGCGGAGCAUGCGGAUUAAUUCGAUGCAACGCGAAGAACCUUACCAAGGCUUGACAUGUGCCGGUCGGCUCCGGAGACGGGGUUUCCUCCUGUUGGGGCCGGUUCACAGGUGGUGCAUGGUUGUCGUCAGCUCGUGU
rnacentral:rRNA from 1 species